rnacentral:rRNA from 1 species
UACGGAGGGUGCAAGCGUUGUCCGGAAUCACUGGGCGUAAAGGGCGCGUAGGCGGCUCAUGAAGGCUGUGGUGAAAGUCCGGGGCUCAACCUCGGAUCGGCCGUGGCGACUCGUGGGCUGGAGCACUGUAGAGGCGGGUGGAAUUCCGGGUGUAGCGGUGGAAUGCGCAGAUAUCAGGAGGAACACCGGUGGCGAAGGCGGGUCUCUGGGCCGAUAUUGACGCUGAGGAGCGAAAGCGUGGGGAGCGAACAGG